GCCAACGGUGGGGUCUGAAGGAAGCCAUAGGAAGCCCGAUGGACGUAGCGCAAGCGAACCUGAUUCGGCGGCAUACAGGGGUAAGCGUGCAAAAUAGCGCAAAGCCCGAUACUCGGUCAGCUGUAUGACGUGCUUGAGGACGGUCUAUCGUGCAGGGAGCCGGU
rnacentral:ncRNA from 1 species